rnacentral:rRNA from 1 species
GACGAACGCUGGCGGCGUGCUUAACACAUGCAAGUCGAGCGGUAAGGCCCUUUCGGGGGUACACGAGCGGCGAACGGGUGAGUAACACGUGGGUGACCUGCCCUCAGCUCUGGGAUAAGCCUGGGAAACCGGGUCUAAUACCGGAUAUGACUCCAUGACGCAUGUUGUGGGGUGGAAAGCCUUGUGCGGCUGAGGAUGGGCCCGCGGCCUAUCAGCUUGUUGGUGGGGUGAUGGCCUACCAAGGCGACGACGGGUAGCCGGCCUGAGAGGGCGACCGGCCACACUGGGACUGAGACACGGCCCAGACUCCUACGGGAGGCAGCAGUGGGAAUCUGCGCAAUGGGCGAAAGCCUGACGCAGCGACGCCGCGUGA